rnacentral:misc_RNA from 1 species
GAGAGAGAGAGAGAGAGAGAGCGUUUCACGCAACCACAAAAAGGAGAGGCUGAUCCAUGCAGGUACAACCAGCAAACGAAAUAAGCUUUUUCCAAGAAACAGAAAGAAUAGAACAAUAUUGAUAUGACGCCGUCAAAUCCAUAUAUUAUCAAGUAGAGCAACUUGAUUUCUAUCUUUUGACAUCCACCCUUUCAUAAAUUAAGAUAUGGCCAAUACGGGAAAGAUAUUUCAUUUUUUAUAAUAAUUUUAUUUUUAACUAAGUACAACUUAAUUUGAAUGAUAAUCCAUU